GUACUUAACGUGGCAAGGGAGAUUCCAGAAUCAUGAAGGUGGUUUCCCCAGGGUGAGGUUCUUUUAUUACAUGUAGUAUGUGUUGAUCCCUAUGAUUUCCCCAAAUUUUGGAAACUGCAUAAUUUUUGGUAGUGGGGGACUGCAUUCAUGCUACCCCCCC